rnacentral:lncRNA from 1 species
UCAGAAAAAGCUAUGAGUGGUAGAGACAGCAGGAUGCACCCAUUAUACACACGCAGCAGAGAAUAUUGUCAAGGGAUGUCAAUCAACGAAGCAAUACUUCAUUUAUGCAAGAUCAAUGAAGUUCUGCAGCUCGGUUAGAUUCUCAACCUUUUUUAAUUUGACAAGACUGAUUCUCAAUUUAUUAACAUACUGUCAUGAAGUGAGGUUAUCAUACAUGAAGCAUUGAAGUUUCUGUCUAAUACUAUAUAGAUGGUUCAAACGGUGCCAUUACAACUUCAGCGAAAAUUAGAUUUUUACUUAGCAUAUUAAGGAAUUUUCCCGGUGACAUUUAAAGCAAAUCAAACCUCAGCAAGAAUUCUUUUCACCAAAUGCGUUACAUAUGACAGCAGAAUGACUAGCAUCAAUUAAAUACUCACAAGUCUUUCCUUAAGAGGAAUUCAGGUAAAAUAAGGACCAUUAUAAAAAUCACUUAUUGUUUAAACCAUGAUAAGUCUGAAGGAUACUUACUUCUGGAGAACAACAAAGGUAGAUUUUUCUUUCGAGACAUUAUUUGGAGGUUAGACAAAGCAUGUGCACAAGUUGUCUUCUUUGGAUAUAAUUAAUAUUAUCAUGAUAAUGAUAUUUACGUACAAUUAUGUUAACACUUAAACGCAAAGACAAGUUAUGAUAAUUUUAGAAUAGGAAUCCGAAAGUCAUGUCAACUGGACAAGGUUUGCAGAAUCUUCAAGUAACAAAAAGUACUUGCUUGUUCACAGUUCAGUAUGCAAUAAGUAACUCAUCCAAUUGAGACUCUUCAUAAAUAUCCUAUUCCAGAACAAUACCACAGAAAAGUCAAGUAACAAUCUAAAUGCUGUCCAAAGCAAAAACGCAAAGAAAGAAAAGGUAGAAUUGAAACAAAACUGAAGGUACUAUAACUUGAGAUUUGGGAUGAGCACGAACACCUGCCAUAUUAAUAUUAACUUAUUCGUGAUUUUGGAAGUCCUUUAUCUAGGUUGACAAUCAGAUUGGCCAACUGGGUUGCUUUUAGGACUCGAGAGUAUGUUUUCGGGCAUUUGAGGAUGAGGAAGUUCUUCAGCUGCAAGCUCCAAAUCAAAGGGCAUGGCUUCUCUAGUACGUUGAGUAGUUUCUGAAUUUUGUUGAUUACUGUCAACGGGAUCACUUGUUAGCUUCCUAGUAGGACUGCUUUCAUUGUUUCCUGAAACUAUGACUUUU